ensembl:snoRNA
GCAGACUCACUAUGCAUCUGGCUGCAUCACCAGGUGGCUGCUCAUUCCCUCUUCCAGAGAAACAAACAUUCCAGCGUGCUGUGGCCACCUGACUUAUAAGGGCAAUGCAGCUGCCUGGAGAUAGACAG